CCACAACUUAUCUUUGUCUUUGUGAAGCUCCGUCUGCGUUGUGUGGGUGAGGAGAGAUUUGCUUCAGCGUGAGAUCUACUUUGGACCACAUCAAGUCUUCGUCAUUGUGAAGCUCCGUGUUGCUUUGAGUGGGUGGAAUCUGCCAAGUUGUGGUCCUAUUUUCGAGCUUCAUACCUGUGCCGUAGAUACCGUGGUGCUUCUUCUCGGUACGGAUAUACGAAGAAAAUGUAGCUUCCAGUGCCGUUCGCAAGGAUGGCUGCAAAAAGACGCUCGUUCAGCUCCGGAGUUCGUUCGUUUGGACAACUUAGCGGUGCAGGAGG